ensembl:lncRNA
UUUUUAUUGGUCGUCAUGAAAAAAAACAUGAGGGGUAACACUGUUGUUUUUUUAUUGGUCGUCAUGAAUAAAAACAUAAGGGAUAACACUGUUGUUUUUUAUUAGUCGUCAUGAGAAAAAACACAAGGGGAAACACUGUUGUUUUUCUUUGGUCGUCAUGAAAAAAACAUAAGGGGUAACACUGUUGUUUUUUAUUGGUCGUCAUGAAAAAAAACAUAAGGGGUAACACUAUUGUCUUUGUCAAAUAAAAUAUAAGGGCUAACACUGUCGUAUUUUAUUGGUCGCCAUGAAAAAAAACAUAUUUGAAAAAAGGAAAAAAAUUGUCCGUGACAAAAAAAAUAUAAGGGGUAACACUGUUGUUUUUCAUCAGUCACCAUGGGAAAAAAAACACAAGGGGGGUAACUGUUGUUUUUUAUUAGUCGUCAUGAAAAAAAAACAUAAGGGGUAACACUGUUGUUUUUUAUUGGUCGUCAUGAAAAAAAACAUAAGGGGUAACACUGUUGUUUUUUAUUGGUCGUCAUGAAAAAAAACAUGAGGGGUAACACUGUUGUUUUUUUAUUGGUCGUCAUGAAUAAAAACAUAAGGGGUAACACUGUUGUUUUUUAUUGAUCGUCAUGAAAAAAAACAUAAGGGGUAACACUGUUGUCUUUGUCAAAUAAAAUAUAAGGGGUAACACUGUCGUAUUUUAUUGGUCGUCAUGAAAAAAAAAACAUUUGAAGAAAAAAAAAAAUUGUCCUUGUCAAAUAAAAUAUAAGGGGUAACACUGUUGUUUUUCAUCAGUCACCAUGGGAAAAAAACAUAAGGGGUAACACUGUUGUUUUUCAUUGGUCGUCAUGAAAAAAAACAUAAGGGGUAACACUGUUGUUUUUUAUUGGUUGUCAUGAAAAAAAAACACAUUUUUUAUUGGUCGUCAUGAAAAAAAACAUAAGGGGUAACACUGUUGUUUUUCUUUGGUCGUCAUGAAAAAAACAUAAGGGGUAACACUGUUGUUUUUCUUUGGUCGUCAUGAAAAAAAAAAACAUUUUUUAUUGGUCGUCAUGAAAAAAAACAUAAGGGGUAACACUGUUGUUUUUCUUUGGUCGUCAUGAAAAAAACAUAAGGGGUAACACUGUUGUUUUUCUUUGGUCUUCUUGAAAAAAACAUAAGGGGUAACACUGUUGUUUUUUAUUGGUCGUCAUGAAAAAAAACAUAAGGGGUAACACUGUUGUUUUUUAUUGGUCGUCAUGAAAAAAACAUAAGGGGUAACACUGUUGUUUUU